GGCGCUCUCAAAGUGAUCAAUCUCGUUCGCAAUGAGAAGGUCAGGAGUUCGAAUCUCCUUAGCUCCACCA
rnacentral:tRNA from 1 species